rnacentral:rRNA from 1 species
UGGUUAAAAAGCUCGUAGUUGGAUCUCGGCGGACUGAGGGCGGUUUGCUUGCUAGUAUUACUGCCCUAUAGUCCGUAGUUUUGCCAGAGGUUUCGGGGUGCUCUUAAUCGAGUGUCCCGGGAUGCUGGCAGGUUUACUUUGAAAAAAUUAGAGUGCUCAAAGCAGGCUAUUACGCCUGAAUAUUCGUGCAUGGAAUAAUAGAAUAGGAAGUCGUUUCUAUUUUGUUGGUUUUCGGAAAUCGACUUAAUGAUUAAUAGGGACAGUCGGGGGCAUUUGUAUUCAAACGACAGAGGUGAAAUUCUUGGACCGUUUGAAGACAAACUGCUGCGAAAGCAUUUGCCAAGAAUGUUUUCAUUAAUCAAGAACGAAAGUUAAAGGUUCGAAGGCGAUUAGAUACCGCCCUAGUUUUAACCAUAAACGAUGCCAGCUAGCGAUCUGCGGACGUUUUUUUUGUAGACUCCGCAGGAAGCUUCCGGGAAACCAAAGCAUUUGGGUUCCAGGGGGAAGUAUAGUUGCAAAGCUGAAACUUAAAGGAAUUGACGGAAGGGCAUCACCAGGAGUGGAGCCUGUG